GAUGAACGCUGGCGGCGUGCUUAACACAUGCAAGUCGAACGGUGAAGCAGAGCUUGCUCUGUGGAUCAGUGGCGAACGGGUGAGUAACACGUGAGCAACCUGCCCUUGACUCUGGGAUAAGCGCUGGAAACGGCGUCUAAUACCGGAUAUGAGCUGCGAUCGCAUGGUCAGCAGUUGGAAAGAUUUUUCGGUCUGGGAUGGGCUCACGGCCUAUCAGCUUGUUGGUGAGGUAAUGGCGCACCAAGGCGUCGACGGGUAGCCGGCCUGAGAGGGUGACCGGCCACAGUGGGACUGAGACACGGCCCAGACUCCUACGGGAGGCAGCAGUGGGGAAUAUUGCACAAUGGGCGGAAGCCUGAUGCAGCAACGCCGCGUGAGGGAUGACGGCCUUCGGGUUGUAAACCUCUUUUAGCAGGGAAGAAGCGAAAGUGACGGUACCUGCAGAAAAAGCGCCGGCUAACUACGUGCCAGCCGCCGCGGUAACAC
rnacentral:rRNA from 1 species